CCUACGGGAGGCUGCAGUGAGGAAUAUUGGUCAAUGGACGAGAGUCUGAACCAGCCAAGUAGCGUGAAGGAUGACUGCCCUAUGGGUUGUAAACUUCUUUUAUAAAGGAAUAAAACGAGGCACGUGUGCCUUUUUGCAUGUACUUUAUGAAUAAGGAUCGGCUAACUCCGUGCCAGCAGCCGCGGUAAUACGGAGGAUCCGAGCGUUAUCCGGAUUUAUUGGGUUUAAAGGGAGCGUAGAUGGGUUGUUAAGUCAGUUGUGAAAGUUUGCGGCUCAACCGUAAAAUUGCAAUUGAUACUGGCAGUCGUGAGUACAGUUGAGGUAGGCGGAAUUCGUGGUGUAGCGGUGAAAUGCUUAGAUAUCACGAAGAACCCCGAUUGCGAAGGCAGCUUACUAAACUGUGACUAACAUUGAUGCUCGAAAGUGUGGGUAUCAAACAGGAUUAGAUACCCCAGUAGUC
rnacentral:rRNA from 1 species